GUGAGUGCUGCUGAGGUAGCGGGUGUGUGGAGCUAUUCCACCCUCCCCGCAUCUGCAGCACAAAUAACGCGCCUGUUCAGCACUAUCUGCCUCUCGGUUUUAAAGACCGGGGGGGCGAGACUGGCCAGUUAGCAAGGUCUCAGGCUACCUCCAUGGUCAGGCUUCAGCACGGGCUCCCAGCCUUGCCACCCCCUGAUCACUCCCCCCUUUUGAAAGUAGCCCAGCGAGCGGAGGAAGAUGUGGCCGGAGAAGGAAUCUGAUAGCUGUGGAUACAGAUGAGAUGAGAUACAGGUUCAGGUCAUUUUGCCAGAUUCCAGAUUUGCAAUCAGUGAGGACAUCUCCUAAACUCCAGCAUAACGAGGAGAAAAGGCCCAAAUCAAAAUCCUCUCCAGACAAGCCAAGUCUGAGAGCAAGUAUCAAAGAAGAAGGGAAAAUAAAAACCCUUCGCUAACAUGAGAGCUCCUGUUUUGUAGCUGAUUUUGUUAAUGCCUGUGACGUUAGCAAAACCAAGCCUAGCCCUCCGUUAAAAAAAUAUGCCUUUGAUUUCACCCUCUUUUGGGAAUAUUCGGGGGAAGAAAAAAAAAACCUCUCACUGAACAAAUUCAUAAGAUAUAAACUACACUUGUUGCAGUGCUUGUUUUGCUUCUAAGCCUGAGGAUAAGCCCUGCCAUCACAACGUUACUGGAAAAUUGAUUCGAUUUUCUUCAAUUAUCCGUUCAAGAAAACAAAGAAUCACAACCUGGCAGUCAGCUCGGCAGCUUUCCCCCGGCCCUUGCUAAAGACAAGAGCGCACACGCGUUUCUGACUCACACCACCUCAGAUAUAGAUGACCUGUGCUCUAAGCUUUGUGACACACGCGGUUAUUCCUGUGCUCCCUGGCUUCAUAAACAAACAAAGCGUCGGGGCCUCAUCUAUGCCUGCAGAACCCGAGGAGAAAACUCCCUCACGGAUGACACAGGUGACAAGGGAAGCGUAGUCCUUGCUUCUGCCGAAAUUUUGACCGAGUGAGAACAGCUACUGAAUCCCAAUGAGGCCCAAGUUCAAAGAAGUUCCUGUACCCGCACUUUUGGCCUCGACAGACUAUGAAAACUUUGCUAAGCUAAACACAACGAGAGACGCUGAAACUGAGCAGCUGGAGGGGUCCCUCUCAUCCACUAUUGCACUGAUAGUAGUGCUGAUUAUUAUUUUCUCUUUGAUAAUGACAUCCCUAGUAACCUACUGUUUUCACAAGUGGAAACUGAGGGGUAAAAAACUGCAGAAAGCACAAGAGGAGUAUCAGAAAGACCACGAAAAGAGCAUUUUUCAAAGCACGCCUGGACUUGUUUCAUAAAAAAAGGAUCCACCACGAAAUACUCCUGCAUUACCUGGAAAUGAAAUUAAUAAAAGAAUGGCAACUAUGAAAUUUCCAAGCAAAUAUAUCCUUGUUUUAUCUCAUUUAUAAGAGUUGUUAGCAGUUUGGAGAUUUCCUACAGCUUUAUUAUACAUAUAUAUAUAUAUAUUUAUAAAUUUAGUCUUAUUUGUGCAAAGUAAAACCAACGCAAUCAUGUAUUUUUAAUCUCUACUGUAUUACUAAAACAGUACAUUUAAACCUGUCGCUCGCCCUCUUUCAAAAAUCCACUGGCCCGUGGAAGGCAAAAGGUCAGGUUUUGAUGAACGCAAACCAACACAGCUGAUAAAACUCAGCGGAGCUGUGUUGGCUUGCACUGAUCUCAUCAUCCGGCUGAAGAUUUCGAAAUCCAACUGGAGUCUGAAGUGAAUCCGAUUCACAGAUACUCAGCAGUAGCAGCCUGGUCCUGAAAGCCUGUAGCCGAAGACCUCUUCACGCUGGCAGCCACAGCUCCCCGCAGAAAGCGUGCGGGACCGGGCCCUAAAUUUGUUAGCGGGUGGUAAGUCGGUAUUUCUUCCACGAGAGGUUCAGGGCCGAGAGGUGCUAGUGGCAUUCCAACCAUAAGGGGAUUAAGGGCACCCAGCGUUACGGAACCUAACUGACCAAGGAAAGAGCAAGCCUGACGCACUUUUUAAACUAGGCUUGUAAUUAUUUUUAAACCAACCAUACAAUGGUGUGUUUCUAUUUUCAUAGCCUGUAAUACUAUGUCACAGAAAAGUGACAGCUCUAUUGUGAGUAGCAUAAGUAAUAUUUUCUAACCAAGUGAUGGAUGUAAUAUUAAUACACGUACUUGUUUUAAAAAGUAGAAAACAUGUAAAAUUACAAAUAAAACCCCUGCUCAAGUAUAUAGCUUGCUUGCAACUACCGUUAAUGCUGUAUGUAUUUUUAAACAAGCUAUAAUACUGUGAUGAUGCUGUAAACUUACUUCUGUAGGCAAAAAAUGUUCUAUUUAAAAAUGUCAAGAUGAAGGAUGUAAAUGUUCUUAAAGCGCUAUCAACUAAAAAUAUGAAUUUGCACAGAAUAUUCUAAAGGAUUCUGUUACAUGCUACAGAUAUAUUUUACAAACGUAUUUAUGGAUCAUACACGCUAGUCUAUGUGAGAACAAACAGUACUAUUUUAUUACGAAAUAAAUGAAUAAAUAAGCAGUGAAUAUCCAUGCCCAGAA